AGAGAGAGAGAGAGAGAGAGAGAGAGAGAAAUGGGUGGCGUGUAGAGAGAGAAGGGAGAAGAAGAAAGAAAGAAAGAAAGAAGAAGAAGGAGAAGAGGAACCAAGUUUAGAAAAAACCCUAGGCUUGAACAAGGGGUGUGAAGUUUGGGUGUUGAUCAUAUUGUAUUCUUGAUUUUACAAUCAAGAGAGGUAGUAAAUAGGAUUUCUUAUGGCACGCGUGGUGACGUGAGGAGUUCUAUCAUCGUGGGGUGUAUGGCGAGGGGUAAUCCUAUGGACGGAAAAACGAUCAUCGUAGAACGCCAUUUAAAUUAUGUUUUGUUUUUAAGAGACUUUCCUAAAUUAUC